AAUUAACAUGUCUACUGCACACAGAAUCAAAUCCGUCGCCCGGUACGUCUAAACAAACAAAUGGAUUUAAACAAAAGUUGCAAUCAUCUUAUAUUAUACCAUGACUAACGGAAUCGAACCGAAAUUCAAUGAUCAAACAAGAAACGCACUACCCCGAUGAGACAUUAUGAGAACUCGGAUAUCCUUUCGUUAAGGAUAACCAAUUAACAACACAUUUGCACGCACAACAACGGGUGAAAUACAGAAAUAGAACGGGAGUUUUAUUUCGUGUGCAGUGCGCGUACAACGACGUCCACGCAUAUAUAACGCGUAGAGAACGUAAAACAUCUCCC